AGCGAACGCUGGCGGCGUGCCUAACACAUGCAAGUCGAACGUCAAAGGGAGCAAUCCCAAGUAAAGUGGCGUACGGGUGAGUAACACGUAGGUAAUCUACCCCAUAAUCUGGAAUAACCGGCCGAAAGGCUUGCUAAUACUGGAUAGAGCGACGGAAUCCGUAAUUGGGUUUUUCGGGAAAGGGAGCCUGUAAAAAGGCCUUCGUUCUGGGAUGCGCCUGCGUCCCAUCAGCUAGUUGGUGAGGUAAAAGCUUACCAAGGCAAUGACGGGUAACUGGUCUGAGAGGAAGAUCCGCCCAAAUGGAACUGAAAAACGGGCCAGACUCCUAAGGGAGGCAGCCGGGGGGAAUCUUGCGAAAUGGACGAAAGUCUGAAGCAACAACGCCGCGUGAGGGAAGAAGGGCUUCGGGUUGGAAAGCUCUGUCGAGUGGGAAGAAAAUGCUUGGAGUUCACAGCUCCAGGAACUGACGGUACCACUAAAGGAAGCACCGGCUAACUCCGUG
rnacentral:rRNA from 1 species